rnacentral:rRNA from 1 species
UACGGGGGGAGCAAGCGUUGUUCGGAUUUACUGGGCGUAAAGGGCGCGUAGGCGGCGCAACAAGUCACUUGUGAAAUCUCCGGGCUUAACCCGGAGCGGUCAAGUGAUACUGUCGUGCUAGAGUGGCGGAAGGGGCUACUGGAAUUCUCGGUGUAGCGGUGAAAUGCGUAGAUAUCAAGAGGAACACCUGAGGUGAAGACGGGUUGCUGGGCUGACACGUG